UGUACUGCUGCGGCUCACCUUUCUGCUGGGGACGGGCUCCUGGGCUUAACUGUCUGGGAUUCGGAAUCAGCGAAGUGACCUUGAGCAAAAGAGAGUGUUCAAAGCAAGCCUACGCUCUGAAUCCUUUAGCAUGGAAUCACACGAUAGGACUCUGGCCUAUCUUGUUGGUCUGUAGGACCGGAGUAAUGAUUAAGAGGGACAGUCGGGGGCAUUCGUAUUUCAUUGUCAGAGGUGAAAUUCUUGGAUUUAUGAAAGACGAACAUCUGCGAAAGCAUUUGCCAAGGAUGUUUUCAUUGAUCAAGAACGAAAGUUGGGGGCUCGAAGACGAUUAGAUACCGUCGUAGUCUCAACCAUAAACGAUGCCGACUAGGGAUUGGCAGGUGUU
rnacentral:rRNA from 1 species